rnacentral:rRNA from 1 species
GACGAACGCUGGCGGCGUGCUUAACACAUGCAAGUCGAGCGGUAAGGCUCCUUCGGGAGUACACGAGCGGCGAACGGGCGAGUAACACGUGAGUAAUCUGCCCUUCACUUCGUGAUAACCACCGGAAACGGUGGCUAAUACCGAAUACGACCAGUCUCCGACUGCGUUGUUGGUGGAAAGCCUUUUCGGCGAAGGAUGUGCUCGUGGCCUAUCAGCUUGUUGUUGGGGUAAUGGUCUACCAAGGCUUCGACGGGUGGCCGGCCUGAGGGGGGGACCGGCCACACUGGGACUGAGACACGGCACAGACUCCUACGGGAGGCAGCGGUGGGGAAUAUUGGACAAUGGGCGAAAGCCUGAGCCAGCAACGCCGCGUGAGGGAUGACGGCGUUCGGGUUGUAAACCUCGUUCAGUACCGACGAAGCGCCCUGUCGGGUGGUGACGGUAGGUACAGAAGAAGGACCGGCCAACUACGUG